rnacentral:snoRNA from 2 species
UCAAAUGAUGUUUCACAAGAUUUUAAAUAACUUUCGUUCUACCGAUUUAGAUCAAACGAUCAUGGGGAAAAGAUCUAUUUCUGAUG